rnacentral:lncRNA from 1 species
UGGAUUGUGCUUUUAAGGAUCCUCCUCUUUAAAUUACCAGACCAGAGAGUUACUUAAGAAGCUGAUGUUCCUCUGCCUCCAGAAGUUGGAGAUUUGUAAAAGACCUUCGAAAGCAGAGAAGCCAUAGGCGUGGGAAUGGACAACACACCAUUAUUAUGGAAUAUGACAGAGCUCUUGACUUCAAUGCUGGUUGUGUUGCUGACCUCCAGUGGUUGCUCCUUCCUUGAUGGCACAAAGGACAUGCAAAGAACCUGCAGUGUCAAUGAACUUGUAACCGCAAUUAACGGUGAGUUACUUUAUUUUGUCUUUUCUGGAAUGAGACGCUUCUUUAGGAUCCUGGCUGUAAGGCUCUAACUAACUAUACUCGUGCUUCCUAAAACCACAUUCCCAGCAAAUUUUUUAAAGCUGCUUUAAAAUGCUAUUUUUUUUUGAUAAAUUGGGCCAUGAGUUUUAGAAGGCAGUAACCUCUCCCCUUUCUAAAACAUGAAUUGAGAAGGCACCUAACGAAUUCCCUCCUGAAAUAUCACAGCACAGUCAGGAGUAGCACAGAGCUGCUUCCCAACAAGUGGAUCACCUUUAGGAACCAUAGGAGUAGCUCAGUUCCAUUGUCUUUGUGGUCCACUAGUUUCCUUGCUGUGCUGCCUCCCUGUACACAUCCUGUAAACAUCUGUGUAUACUAAACACAUUUCCCAGAAGGUGAACUGUAUGCUACUCCAAAUUGGGCCCCGUUCUCAGCUGUUUGAACCAGAAGUACAGUCACAAGAAGUCAGCUUCCCUGCACCGGGCUAUUUACAGGAAUGAUUUUACACAUCUGCAGAAUGCAGUCCUAUGCCAAAACUCUGUCUGUUAGGUGGGAGUCUAUGACCGUCAUACCACACACAACGCCAAGCCUUAGUCACUAAUUCUUGCAGCUGGCUUUGAACCACAGAUCUAGACAGAGACCUAGUCUAUUACUAAUAUAAAUUUGCUCCAAAUGGCCUCAGCCAUUGCUGUCCCAGCUGUCCAGUUCAGGACUGGACUCAA